GAUGAAGAGCGCAGCGAAAUGCGAUAAGUAAUGUGAAUUGCAGAAUUCAGUGAAUCAUCGAAUCUUUGAACGCACAUUGCGCCCGCCAGUAUUCUGGCGGGCAUGCCUGUUCGAGCGUCAUUUCAACCCUCAGGCCCCCAGUGCCUGGUGUUGGGGAUCGGCCCAGCCUUCCUGUAAGGCCGCCGGCCCCGAAAUCUAGUGGCGGUCUCGCUGUAGUCCUCCUCUGCGUAGUAGCACAACCUCGCAGUUGGAACGCGGCGGUGGCCAUGCCGUUAAACACCCCACUUCUGAAAGUUGACCUCGGAUCAGGUAGGAAUACCCGCUGAACUUAAGCAUAUCAAUAAGCGGAGGA
rnacentral:misc_RNA from 1 species